GGGGAACCUGAUGCAGCGAUGCCGCGUGAGCGAUGAAGGUCUUCGGAUCGUAAAGCUCUGUCCUUAGGGAAGAAUAUUGACGGUACCUAAGGAGGAAGCCCCGGCUAACUACGUGCCAGCAGCCGCGGUAAUACGA
rnacentral:rRNA from 1 species